UAGGGAAUUUUCGUCAAUGGGGGCAACCCUGAACGAGCAAUGCCGCGUGAGCGAAGAAGGUCUUCGGAUUGUAAAGCUCUGUUGCCGGGGGAAAAAAGGAAAGGGAAAAGAAGGAAAAUGCUUUUUCUUUGGAUGGUACCCGGCCAGAAAGUCACGGCUAACUACGUGCC
rnacentral:rRNA from 1 species